rnacentral:rRNA from 1 species
AUUGAACGCUGGCGGCAGGCCUAACACAUGCAAGUCGAACGAGUGUCGGACGGGUGAGUAAUGUCUGGGAAACUGCCCGAUGGCGGGGGAUAACUACUGGAAACGGUAGCUAAUACCGCAUACCAUCUGAUGUGCCCAGAUGGGCUUAGCUAGCAGGUGGGGUAACGGCUCACCUAGGCGACGAUCCCUAGCUGGUCUGAGAGGAUGACCAGCCACACGGGAGCUGAGACACGGUCCAGACUCCUACGGGAGGCAGCAGUGGGGAAUAUUGCACAAUGGGCGCAAGCCUGAUGCAGCCAUGCCGCGUGUAUGAAGAAGGCCGUCGGGUUGUAAAGUACUUUCAGCGAGGAGGCGUUACUCGCAGAAGAAGCACCGGCUAACUCCGUGCCAGCAGCCGCGGUAAUUC